UUAAGAGUCUGAAGGAUAACUUAAAAUUUUCAACUAAACUACACUGAAGUAAUACUCAUGAAUUUGGGGAUUUGUGACUGGACCUGUGAAUGCCAAGAAUCUACCCUCGGUCCAAAUCCUAAAGUUGCCUUGUCACAGAGACAGCAUUUUAUAAAAACCUUGUCAUUAACCAUCACCUUGCUUCACCGGCAGGGUAAUCAUUGAGCCAUUCAUCUGUGCUUUAGUGUCACUGCCAUAGGAGGCUCAAACAAAGGCCCCUGCAGAAGGAGUUUGGAGCAGGGCCAAGCCAUCCCAGCCUUUGCCCUCAAUUGCACACCGAGUGGAGAGUCUCUUAGUCCAGGAGUCUGUGCUGCUCAAGAGUUUGCAUAAACACAGUGUUGAGAAAUAACUCUUGCUGGAGUGCGUGCACAAGGCAAAGGCGGACUGAUCCCCUGGGAUGGAGACAUUACCAAGUUGGCUGUAGCUGUUCCACAUUGGAUCCCUAGUGGGAAUAGCUUGUCUAAGUGUCAGUCUUCUCCCACUACUUGGUGACAGCUGACAAGCUUCCCUAUAAUCUUGCCUCUGGGUAUUCACUCCUUCGUAUAAUGCCUUCCUCUUAAGUGUGGAUUGGACCUGGUGACCUGCUUCUAAGAAAUGGAAUACACAAAGUGAAUGGGAUAUCACUUCCAUGACUAGGUUACAAAAGAUUGGGACUUCCGUCUCACUAGCAUGCUGGCAUCCUCUCUCACUCUUUCUGCUUGCUCACUCUGAUAAAACAAGUUGCCAUAUGGAUGGCAAGGAACAGAGGGUAGCCUCUGGGCACCAGCCAUCAGAGAAUGGAGGCCCUUAGUCCAACAACCAGUGAGGAAGGGAACCUGCCAAAACCACGUAAGGGAGCUUUGAGGCAGAUUCUUCCGCAGUCAAGCCUUCGGAUAAGACUGAAGCCUCGGCUGACAGCUAGAUGCAGCCUUGUAAGAACCCUGAGAAAGAGGACACAGCCAGGCUGUGGAUUCUGGAAGCCUGACUCCUGGCUGAGAUAAACUGUGAGAUGAUAAGUAUUGUCAUUUUAAGACACUGAAGAGUCUAAGGUUGGGGAUAAUUUGUGCCGCAGUAAAUAACCAACACAUCACCCAAGAUGGUCAAGAAUCCUCACUCUCUUAAAACUGUUUCCUCUUCCAGAACUCCUUCACAUGUGUCAAGUGUUUCGUUUACAGAUUUAAUUUUACUGAAUUUGCUAUUGAAUGGGUUGGACUCAGUCAUUUCAAAGUCCCCCUCAACUGUAAAUCUCUGAGUCAAAUUCUUUGCUCCUCCCACCAAAAAAUCAUUCACCUUUUCACCCUCAUGAAAUAAGAAGGGUGAACUGGCCACAGUUGCAGGUGUAAGAUUAUCUAGCCGUGCAGGGGGCUGCUGCUGUGAGCUGAUUCAGGAGCAGGGUGUGCUUCCUGAUCCCUGCAAGCUCCUUUCCCCUCUCCGCUCUGGAGAAGCUCAGGGUCCUCACUGCCAGCCUCCCAUCUGGGAGGGCUCUGACUCAAACACUUACUAUUUGUUCCUAUUACGGUUCCUGUCUUGUAGCAUUAGUUUAGAUAUAUCUGUGAUGCCUUUCUUGUUUCUUUUGAAAGAGCAUUUGAACUUAUAGUAAAAGAGUGCCUGAAUUCUCCCGUCUGUUCUUCUUUUGAGGGCAUUGAGACAGAGACAGGUUAAGUGGUGGCCAAACCCUGGACUUCCUUCCUUCAAA